GACGAACGCUGGCGGCGUGCUUAACACAUGCAAGUCGAACGAAAAGAGGGAAAGAGCUUGCUCUUUCCGGAAUUGAGUGGCAAACGGGUGAGUAACACGUAAACAACCUGCCUUCAGGAUGGGGACAACAGACGGAAACGACUGCUAAUACCGAAUAAGUUCCAAGAGCCGCAUGGCCCAUGGAAGAAAAGGUGGCCUCUACCUGUAAGCUAUCGCCUGAAGAGGGGUUUGCGUCUGAUUAGCUGGUUGGAGGGGUAACGGCCCACCAAGGCGACGAUCAGUAGCCGGUCUGAGGGGAUGGACGGCCACACUGGAACUGAGACACGGUCCAGACUCCUACGGGAGGCAGCAGUGGGGAAUCUUCCGCAAUGGGCGAAAGCCUGACGGAGCAACGCCGCGUGAGUGAUGACGGCCUUCGGGUUGUAAAACUCUGUGAUCCGGGACGAAAAGGCAGAGUGCGAAGAACAAACUGCAUUGACGGUACCGGAAAAGCAAGCCACGGCUAACUACGUG
rnacentral:rRNA from 1 species